GACGAACGCUGGCGGCGUGCCUAAUACAUGCAAGUCGACCUUAGUGGCGAACGGGUGCGUAACACGUGGGUACCCUGCCCAUCCGAAGGGGAUAACCCUUGGCAAAAGGUGCUAAUCCCGUAUCCUGAUGGAUGUACCCGCUGUGCAGUAGCUAGUUGGUGCGGUAACGGCUCACCAAGGCCACGAUGCAUAGCCAGUCUGAGAGGGUGACCGGCCACAUUGGGACUGAGACACGGCCCAAACUCCAACGGGAGGCAGCAGGAGGGAAUCUUCGACAAUGGACGAAAGUCUGACCGAGCAACGCCGCGUGAGUGAAGAAGGGUUUCGGAUCGUAAAACUCUGUUGUUAGAGAAGCGGUAUCUAACCAGAAAGCCACGGCUAACUACGUGCCAGCAGCCGCGGUAAUAC
rnacentral:rRNA from 1 species